UGUACAAUUAAUGGCCGCGGUACUCUGACCGUGCUAAGGUAGCGCAAUCAAUUGGCUCUUAAUUGGAGUCAGGAAUGAAUGGAGUUACGGGGUUCAGCUGUCUCUCAGCUAAUUAAUCGAAAUUACUAUAUAGGUGAAAAAGCCUAUAUACAGAAAAAGGACGAGAAGACCCUUAGAGUUUUCCCAUGUAAUAUUAAGAAGCUAUUUUACACUGGUUUUGUUGGGGCAACAUAGGAGCAUAAUCUCCUUUAAAUGAACCGAUAAUUUUAAACAUAAAUAAACUACCUUAGGGAUAACAGCAUAAUUUUAUAAAUAAGUUUGUGACCUCGAUGUUGGACUAGGAAACCUAAAGGCUAGUC
rnacentral:rRNA from 1 species